rnacentral:rRNA from 1 species
AUUGAACGCUGGCGGCAGGCCUAACACAUGCAAGUCGAGCGAGCGGCGGACGGGUGAGUAAUGUCUGGGAAACUGCCUGAUGGAGGGGGAUACCUACUGGAAACGGUAACUAAUACCGCCUACCAUCAGCUGUGCCCAGAUGUGAUUAGCUAGUAGGUGGGGUAACGGCUCACCUAGUCGACGAUCCCUAGCUGGUCUGCGAGGAUGACCAGCAACACUGGAACGGAGACACGUGCCAGACUCAUACGGGAGGCAGCAGUGGGGAAUAGUGCACAAUGGGCGCAAGCCUGAUGCAGCCAUGCCGCGUGUGUGAAGAAGGCCUUCGGGUUGUAAAGCACUUUCAGCGGGGAGGCGUUACCCGCAGAAGAAGCACCGGCUAACGCCGUGCCAGCAGCCGCGGUAAUUC